GACGAACGCUGGCGGCGUGCUUAACACAUGCAAGUCGAACGGAAAGGCCCUGCUUUUGUGGGGUGCUCGAGUGGCGAACGGGUGAGUAACACGUGAGUAACCUGCCCUUGACUUUGGGAUAACUUCAGGAAACUGGGGCUAAUACCGGAUAGGAACUCCUGCUGCAUGGUGGGGGUUGGAAAGUUUCGGCGGUUGGGGAUGGACUCGCGGCUUAUCAGCUUGUUGGUGGGGUAGUGGCUUACCAAGGCUUUGACGGGUAGCCGGCCUGAGAGGGUGACCGGCCACAUUGGGCCUGAGAUACGGCCCAGACUCCUACGGGAGGCAGCAGUGGGGAAUAUUGCGCAAUGGGCGGAAGCCUGAUGCAGCAACGCCGCGUGCGGGAUGACGGCCUUCGGGUUGUAAACCGCUUUCGCCUGUGACGAAGCGUGAGUGACGGUAAUGGGUAAAGAAGCACCGGCUAACUACGUG
rnacentral:rRNA from 1 species